rnacentral:rRNA from 1 species
CGGGGUUGCGGACAGUGUCUGGUGGGUAGUUUGACUGGGGCGGUCUCCUCCUAAAGAGUAACGGAGGAGCACGAAGGUUAGCUAAUCCUGGUCGGACAUCAGGAGGUUAGUGCAAAGGCAUAAGCUAGCUUGACUGCGAGAGUGACGGCUCGAGCAGGUGCGAAAGCAGGUCUUAGUGAUCCGGUGGUUCUGAAUGGAAGGGCCAUCGCUCAACGGAUAAAAGGUACUCCGGGGAUAACAGGCUGAUACCGCCCAAGAGUUCAUAUCGACGGCGGUGUUUGGCACCUCGAUGUCGGCUCAUCACAUCCUGGGGCUGAAGUAGGUCCCAAGGGUAUGGCUGUUCGCCAUUUAAAGUGGUACGCGAGCUGGGUUUAGAACGUCGUGAGACAGUUCGGUCCCUAUCUGCCGUGGGCGCUGGAGAAUUGAGGGGGGCUGCUCCUAGUACGAGAGGACCGGAGUGGACGCAUCACUGGUGUUCGGGUUGUCAUGCCAAUGGCACUGCCCGGUAGCUAAAUGCGGAAGAGAUAAGUGCUGAAAGCAUCUA